rnacentral:lncRNA from 1 species
GGCUUCUUCUGAGAGGUUUUGGCCCUGAGGUUUCAUGGACUGGGAUGCGAUUUUACAUGGCAGCCCUAUAAUGUAGCAAGGAGCAGCCCGGGAGAGAGUGACUCUAGUGGUGGACUUCAAGAAACAAGGUCCACUCAGGGGAAGGUUGGUGAGUGCCAUGCUUCUGCAUCAGCCCAGAACAGCAACAGACACUGACUGAGAGAAGCUCAGGGCACCCUCUCUCCCGUUUUUCUGUUGCCAUCUUGGAAUAAGACCAGCGCCAUCAUCUCGGGGGACAAGGGUGGGAGG